rnacentral:tRNA from 1 species
CGAGCUAGAGCUAUUUAGUAUUUCAUUUACAUUGAAAAGUUUUAUUUUAAUUAAUGUGGCUUGA